rnacentral:rRNA from 1 species
UACGUAGGGGGCAAGCGUUGUCCGGAAUCAUUGGGCGUAAAGAGCGUGUAGGUGGCCCGGUCAGUCCGCCGUGAAAGUCCAGGGCUCAACCCUGGAAUGCCGGUGGAUACUGCCGGGCUGGAGUCCGGAAGAGGCGAGUGGAAUUCCUGGUGUAGCGGUGAAAUGCGCAGAUAUCGGGAAGAACACCCGUGGCGAAGGCGGCUCUCUGGGACGGUACUGACGCUGAGACGCGAAAGCGUGGGGAGCGAACAGG